rnacentral:rRNA from 1 species
AUUGAACGCUGGCGGCAGGCCUAACACAUUCAAGUCGAACGUUAACAGGAAGCAGCUUGCUGCUUUGCUGACGAGUGGCGGACGGGUGAGUAAUGUCUGGGAAACUGCCUGAUGGCGGGGGAUAACUACUGGAAACGGUAGCUACUACCGCAUAACGUCGCAAGACCAAUGAGGGGGACCUUCGGGCCUCUUGCCAUCGAAUGUGCCCAGAGCGCAUUACCUAGUAGGUGGGGUAGCGGCUCACCUAGGCGCCGAUCCCUAGCUAGUCUGAGAGGAUGACGAGGCAAGAUGAAAACGAGAAACGGUCCAGACACCUACGGGAGGCAGCAGAGGGGAAUAAUGCACAACGGGCGAAAGACUGAUGAAGCCAGGACGCGUGUAUGAAGAAGGCCUUCGAAUUGGAAAGUACUUUGAGCGGGGAGGAAGGGAGUAAAGUUAAUACCUGUGCUCAUUGACGGUACCAGCAGAAGAAGCACCGGCUAACUCAGUG